rnacentral:rRNA from 1 species
UACGGGGGGAGCAAGCGUUGUUCGGAUUUACUGGGCGUAAAGGGCGCGUAGGCGGCCACCGCAAGUCGACUGUGAAAUCUCCGGGCUUAACUCGGAAAGGUCAGCCGAUACUGCGGGGCUAGAGUGCAGAAGGGGCAACUGGAAUUCUCGGUGUAGCGGUGAAAUGCGUAGAUAUCGAGAGGAACACCUGCGGCGAAGGCGGGUUGCUGGGCUGACACUGACGCUGAGGCGCGAAAGCGUGGGGAGCGAACAGG